AUCAUCUCAGGGAAUCCCUCCAACAGUCUAGGAAGUAGCUCUUGGGAUUAUGUCCAUUUUACAGCGGAGGAAAAUCGAGGCAGUUGAGUGACCCAGUUGGAGGCCAUGCUCCACACAGAACACACACUUCACUCCAUGGAAGAGGUGGCAUUUGAAGUGGGUCUUGAAGAAUGCAAAAGACCCCCCUGCCCCCCGCCCCAUGACUUGGCCCAGCAGAGAUGGGGGAGCAGCCUGGUGAGGGGCAGGCUCAUCAGCAUAAUAGUGGAAACCAUGAUGAUAUAACAGUGAUUACCAAGACACCUGACAGGGUGACUCCUGUAGUGUGAUGUGCCCAAGGGUGCCAACAGCUUCAGGGUCUCUGGAAGCUCCGAGGUGGAUGUCUUCAUGGUCUACAACCGCACACGUGUGACAGAGCCCAUAGGCAAGGCCCGCUGGCCGCUAGACACUGAUGCAGACAUGGUCGUAUCUGUGGGCACAGCCAGUAAGGAAUUAAAGGACUUCAAGGUGAGGGUCUCCUACUUUGGGGAGCAGGAAGACCAAGCCCUGGGCCGCAGCGUGCUUUACCUCACUGGCGUCGCUAUUUCCCUUGAGGUUGACACAGGCCGCACAGGCAAGGUGAAGAGAAGCCAAGGGGAUAAGAAAACCUGGCGCUGGGGCCCUGAGGGCUAUGGGGCUAUCUUGCUGGUGAACUGUGACCGGGACAAUCACAGGUCCGCAGAGCCUGACCUCACCCACAGCUGGCUGAUGUCGCUGGCUGACCUGCAGGACAUGUCCCCAAUGCUGCUGAGCUGCAAUGGCCCCGACAAGCUCUUUGACAGCCACAAGCUUGUCUUGAACGUGCCCUUUUCUGAUUCCAAAAGAGUGAGGGUCUUCCGUGCCAGGGGUGGGAAUUCUCUCUCGGACUACAAACAGGUGCUGGGGCCCCAGUGUCUGUCCUAUGAAGUUGAGCGACAGCCAGGGGAGCAGGAGAUCAAGUUCUAUGUGGAGGGGCUGACCUUCCCCGAUGCCGAUUUCCUAGGGCUGGUUUCCCUCAGUGUCAGCCUGGUGGACCCGGGGACCCUGCCCGAGGUGAUCCUCUUCACAGACACUGUGGGCUUCCGCAUGGCCCCCUGGAUCAUGACGCCCAACACUCAGCCUCCUGAGGAGCUGUAUGUGUGCAGUGUGAUGGACACUCAUGGCUCCAAUGAGAAAUUCCUGGAGGACAUGUCUUAUCUGACAUUGAAAGCCAACUGCAAGCUGACCAUCUGCCCUCAAGUUGAAAAUCGAAAUGACCGCUGGAUCCAGGACGAGAUGGAGUUUGGCUACAUCGAGGCCCCUCACAAAUCCUUCCCCGUGGUCUUUGACUCCCCCCGGAACAGGGGCCUGAAAGAUUUCCCCUAUAAGAGGAUCCUGGGUCCUGACUUUGGAUAUGUGACCCGGGAGAUCCCGCUCCCUGGUCCCUCCAGCCUUGACUCCUUCGGCAACCUGGACGUCAGCCCGCCCGUCACGGUGGGCGGCAUGGAAUACCCCCUGGGCCGGAUCCUCAUCGGGAGCAGCUUCCCCAAGUCCGGUGGGCGGCAGAUGGCCAGGGCAGUGCGGAACUUCCUGAAGGCACAGCAGGUGCAGGCACCCGUGGAGCUCUACUCGGACUGGCUCUCUGUGGGCCAUGUGGACGAGUUUCUGACCUUUGUGCCUACCUCUGACCAAAAGGGCUUCCGGAUGCUCCUGGCUAGCCCCAGCGCUUGCCUCAAACUCUUCCAAGAGAAGAAAGAAGAGGGUUAUGGGGAGGCAGCCCAGUUUGAUGGGUUAAAACACCAGGCAAAAAGAAGCAUUAAUGAGAUGCUGGCAGACAGACACCUCCAGAGAGACAAUCUUCAUGCACAGAAAUGCAUUGACUGGAACCGUAAUGUGCUGAAGCGGGAGCUGGGCCUGGCAGAGAGUGACAUCGUGGACAUUCCCCAGCUCUUCUUCCUGAAAAACUUCUACGCGGAAGCCUUCUUCCCAGACAUGAUGCCAAUAGCACUCUCCCAGAUGUGACAACCAAAAAUGCCCUAGUGGACAAAAUGGACCCUGAUUGAGAACCACGGCUUGAAGGCAGUGUUGUCUGUUAGAACAUUCUGUGCUGAUGAAAAUGUUCCAUAUCUGCACAAUACAGUCCAGUAGCCACUCAGCUACCACCUGAAAUGUGGCUAGUGUCAAUGAAGAACAGAAAUUGUAACUUUAUGUUAACAUGGUGGUCUUAGGCAAGUACCUGGGCAUCCCCAAGCCCUACGGGCCCAUCAUCAAUGGCCGCUGCUGCCUGGAGGAGAAGGUGCAGUCCCUGCUGGAGCCUCUGGGCCUGCACUGCAUCUUCAUUGAUGACUACUUGUCCUACCACGAGCUGCAGGGGGAGAUCCACUGUGGCACCAACGUGCGCAGGAAGCCCUUUCCCUUCAAAUGGUGGAACAUGGUGCCCUGAGCCUGCCCCCACCCACCAUCCUCUCUGCCCUCUUGCUAGGGAACCCUGCCAGGGUGAGGGCAAGGAACAACCACCUGGCCUCCAUUCUCUUGGGGGAGUCUUGGCACUUUGCAAACAUCCUGGCCACCGUGGGCACCAGGACACAGGGAUGGAUACCACCUACCCUCGCCUCUGGAAUGGCCUACCCAACCCGAGAAGAAUGCACCUCAUUCUUCCCUGGCCUCUUUCCCACCCACAGCCCCCAGAGGCUCUAGAUCAACAAUGUUAGCAAGUUCGAGAAUGGCUGUGGGAGGCCUAGGGAGAUGGGCCCCACUUAGAAUUGCUCCCCCUUCAUUCUGAUGCCUCCCUGGGGAACAAGGAUAAUGACUUUGCAUCUGUACCUGGAACGGGGCCUGGGGGACCUGGGGUCUGGUGUGCCAGGCACCAGGCUGCCUCUGCUCUUGGAAAACUAGGAAAGGGGAUCAGAAACAUCCUCUCCCCGCUCUAGGUUUCUUCUCCCAAAGGGGACCCAAGGCUGUGACACUUACCUCCACCCCCAUCCAGCACCCUUCAGCUGUGUGUGGACAAACAAGGACAGAAAAACCCAGUGUCCAAGGGCCAAUUUAAAUAGAAAAAAGACAACAAAAUUUUAAUAGCUGACUCCGACCUCAGAAGAGUGAUUGCUACCUUUCUGGAAAGACUUUAAUUACCAGAGCUGGCUUCUCCCAGCUCAGAAAUGCUGAGAGGCCAACCUGAGGCCUGAGGACACACAAAGGAUGACGGGGCAGGAGGGGAUGAGGUCAGGGUAGCAGAGUGUGUGACGACGGAUUUGGGGGCCUAGAGGUGUCCGUGGUUCCUGGGCUGGGAUUUUGGACUCUGGAUUUGAAGGGAGCUGGAGCUUCCAGAUGUAGCAGGGGUAGGGGGCCAGAUGUUAGAAGAGGGUGUGUGUGUUGGGAGGAAAUUAGGUUAUCUCUGAAGGUGGAGUUUAAUUUCCUUUAAUAGUCUUUAAUUAUUCCCCUUCAUUCUGCAGGCAGUGGGAGGGGAAGGCUUGCCCGGUCUCUCUCAGCAACCCAGGGACCCUGCACAUAGCUUAGGUUUCAUCCCUGAAUAAACCGCUGUGCAGGCCCAUGUCCCCUCCCACAGUAGGGAAGACAGCUGCCACGGGAGGUUAAUAGCCCUGAGUUAGGUCACUGAGACAUGCACAGGCAGGCUGGUUCAGCUGGGCUGCAGGGCACGGGCAGGAGGAAGCCAGCCUACCCUCUUCCCCCACUGCCAGUGAGGCCAUUGUAGGGCAGUUGGCCCUAGGGCUUCGGUCCAUCUAGGUUUUCAGUGGUCCCUGCUGAGACCUCACACUGAGCCAACUACUGUCACUCUUUUAACCAAGAAAAGCUAGCCUGGAACUGCUAUGGUUAAAGUGGGUGAGCGGGAACCUGAAAAUCCCCUUCUGGAAGGUUCUACAGAACUCUAUUCGCAAGCUCCUGCUUUAACCUGAGCGUCCUCUGCUCAGGAUCAUACCCCAGCCUGCACUGAGUCAAGAAGGAGAAGGAGGCUCUGAAGGGGCCGGGGGUGUGAGCUGGGGUUGGGACUCCCCUGAGAAAGAGCUGUGGGUAGGAAGGGAGUGAGCAUUGCAGAGAUAGGGCUGGGGGUCGGGGCCACACUGAGUGUGGGAAGCUCUGGAGUUGUUGCUGGGCCAUCGAGGGGCCCUGGUGUUGGCUCUGAGAAUGUUCUGGGUGACCAGUCACCUACUUUCUGAUCAAUAAAAAUGUCGACAUGCAUUUCU